rnacentral:rRNA from 1 species
UACGUAGGUGGCAAGCGUUGUCCGGAUUUAUUGGGAUUAAAGGGUGCGUAGGCGGAUUAAUAAGUCAGUGGUGAAAGCCCAUCGCUUAACGAUGGAACUGCCAUUGAUACUGUUAGUCUUGAGUAUGGUUGAGGUGGGCGGAAUGUGUCAUGUAGCGGUGAAAUGCUUAGAUAUGACACAGAACACCAAUUGCGAAGGCAGCUCGCUAAACCAUAACUGACGCUGAGGCAUGAAAGCGUGGGGAGCAAACAGG